rnacentral:tRNA from 1 species
GGGGGUAUAGUUCAGAAGGUAGAACGUAUGCUUUGCACGCAUAAGGUUAUCGGUUCGAUUCCGGUUAUCUCCA